rnacentral:rRNA from 1 species
UACGUAGGGUGCGAGCGUUGUCCGGAAUUAUUGGGCGUAAAGGGCUCGUAGGCGGUCUGUCGCGUCUGCUGUGAAAACCCGCGGCUCAACCGCGGGCCUGCAUUCGAUACGGGCAGACUAGAGUUCGGUAGGGGAGUCUGGAAUUCCUGGUGUAGCGGUGAAAUGCGCAGAUAUCAGGAGGAACACCGGUGGCGAAGGCGGGACUCUGGGCCGAUACUGACGCUGAGGAGCGAAAGCGUGGGGAGCAAACAGG